GCUUAACACAUGCAAGUCGAGGGGUAACAGGGAUUGCUUGCAAUCCGCUGACGACCGGCGCACGGGUGCGUAACGCGUAUGCAACCUACCUUUUACAAGGGGAUAGCCCAGAGAAAUUUGGAAUAAUACCCUAUACGAUCAUCAAUUGGCAUCAAUUAAUGAAGAAAACUCCGGUGGUAAAAGAUGGGCAUGCGUCCUAUUAGUUAGUUGGUAAGGUAACGGCUUACCAAGACUUCGAUAGGUAGGGGUCCUGAGAGGGAGAUCCCCCACACUGGUACUGAGACACGGACCAGACUCCUACGGGAGGCAGCAGUGAGGAAUAUUGGACAAUGGAGGCAACUCUGAUCCAGCCAUGCCGCGUGCAGGAAGACGGCCCUACGGGUUGUAAACUGCUUUUAUACAGGAAGAACUAUAUCUACGUGUAGAUAUUUGACGGUACUGUACGAAUAAGGAUCGG
rnacentral:rRNA from 1 species